UACAGAGGGUGCAAGCGUUAAUCGGAAUUACUGGGCGUAAAGGGUUCGUAGGCGGUGUGGCAAGUCGGGAGUGAAAUCUCUGGGCUCAACCCAGAGACUGCUUCCGAAACUGCUGUGCUUGAGUGUGAGAGAGGCUCGUGGAAUUGCAGGUGUAGCGGUGAAAUGCGUAGAUAUCUGCAGGAACACCCGUGGCGAAAGCGGCGAGCUGGAUCACUACUGACGCUGAGGAACGAAAGCUAGGGGAGCAAACAG
rnacentral:rRNA from 1 species